rnacentral:rRNA from 1 species
GAUCUUUAUUUUUUAUUUAAUAUAAAUUAAAAAGAAUUAUUAAAUUUAUAUUGAAUAAAAAAUUUUAUUGGGGUGAUAUUAAAAUUUAAAUAACUUUUAUUAUUUUUUUACAUUAAUAUAUGAAUAUUUGAUCCAAUAAUAUUGAUUAAAAAUUUAAGUUACCUUAGGGAUAACAGCGUAAUUUUUUUUUAGAGUUCUUAUCAACAAAAAAGAUUGC